rnacentral:tRNA from 1 species
GGUGCUGUGGAGAAGUCGGUUAACGUCCUGGCCUGAAGAGCCGGCAUCCCAUAUGGGUGCAGGUUCUAGUCCCGUCUGCUCCU